UCUCUGCCGUUGAUGAAUGGAUUC
rnacentral:piRNA from 1 species